UACGUAGGGGGCAAGCGUUGUCCGGAUUUAUUGGGCGUAAAGAGCUCGUAGGCGGUUCCGUAAGUCAUGAAGUCAAAUCUCUGGGCUCAACCCAGAAUCGCUUCCGAUACUGCGGUGACUGGAGUCCGGUAGGGGAGUGUGGAAUUCCUGGUGUAGCGGUGAAAUGCGCAGAUAUCAGGAAGAACACCCGUGGCGAAAGCGGCUCUCUGGAACGGUACUGACGCUGAGACGCGAAAGCGUGGGGAGCGAACAGG
rnacentral:rRNA from 1 species